GACGUAGGGCGCGAGCGUUGUCCGGAUUUAUUGGGCGUAAAGAGCUCGUAGGCGGCUUGUCGCGUCGUUCGUGAAAAACCGGGGCUCAACUCCGGGCUUGCGGGCGAUACGGGCAGGCUAGAGUUCGGUAGGGGAGACUGGAAUUCCUGGUGUAGCGGUGAAAUGCGCAGAUAUCAGGAGGAACACCGGUGGCGAAGGCGGGUCUCUGGGCCGAUACUGACGCUGAGGAGCGAAAGCGUGGGGAGCGAACAGG
rnacentral:rRNA from 1 species